rnacentral:rRNA from 1 species
UACGAAGGGGGCAAGCGUUGCUCGGAAUGACUGGGCGUAAAGCGCACGUAGGCGGCUUCUUAAGUCGGAGGUGAAAUCCUGGAGCUCAACUCCAGAACUGCCUUCGAUACUGGGAAGCUCGAGUCCGGGAGAGGUGAGUGGAACUGCGAGUGUAGAGGUGAAAUUCGUAGAUAUUCGCAAGAACACCAGUGGCGAAGGCGGCUCACUGGCCCGGUACUGACGCUGAGGUGCGAAAGCGUGGGGAGCAAACAGG